ensembl:lncRNA
CAGACAUAUGCCAUGUGCAAGCCCAAGUCACAAAUAAAAGCGACAUGUGACUGAGCAAGCUGCAAAGGAAGCCAGAGAGGAACUUGGGCUCUGUGAAGUCCUGGCAUCUGAUCAGUGCCUGAGCUGAAGCAGGCUGCAUUACCCAGCCUGGCUCCCCUGCACAAGGAAGGCUGCAGAAGACACAUCAAGCUGGCAUCCACAAGCCAGCAGAGCAGCACAGACUUAAAGAGAAACCUACUAUUUUUCUUGCCUCCAUUUUUCACCAAACUCAAUCUGUCAGACCUAAGCAUCCUCAGACAAACCUCCCUCAGGACCUCUGCCCAGUGCUCACUAUCAGCUGGAUGCACCACUACUGCUCCUCUCUGCUCAGCCACAUCACUGCUCAGAUUGCCAAAGGAGAGGUGCACAGGGAUGCCAGCCUGCCAGGUGCACUGCUCAGAGAACUGUGCUCCCUGCCGUGCCC